AGCAUCUAGCACCAGUGGUCUAGUGGUAGAAUAGUACACUGCCACGGUACAGACCCCGGUUCGAUUCCCGGCUGGUGCAUCC
rnacentral:tRNA from 1 species